rnacentral:rRNA from 1 species
UACAGAGGAGGCAAGCGUUGUUCGGAAUCACUGGGCUUAAAGCGCGUGUAGGCGGCGCGAUAAGUGUUCUGUGAAAUCCCACGGCUCACCCGUGGAACUGCAGGGCAUACUGUCGUGCUUGAGGCAGGUAGGGGCCACUGGAACUCUCGGUGGAACGGUGAAAUGUGUAGAUAUCGAGAGGAACGCCCGAGGCGAAAGCGGGUGGCUGGGCCUGUCCUGACGCUGAGACGCGAAAGCGUGGGGAGCAAACAGG